rnacentral:rRNA from 1 species
UACGUAGGGUGCGAGCGUUUAAUCGGAAUUACUGGGCGUAAAGCGUGCGCAGGCGGUUUGUUAAGACAGAUGUGAAAUCCCCGGGCUUAACCUGGGAACUGCAUUUGUGACUGGCAAGCUAGAGUAUGGCAGAGGGGGGUAGAAUUCCACGUGUAGCAGUGAAAUGCGUAGAGAUGUGGAGGAAUACCGAUGGCGAAGGC